UUUCCUGAAGUUAUUCCAGGUUAUCAGAACUAGACCAGACAACCAGGCAACACACACAGACUGGAUUCUGUUGGACCUGCAGGUGGUCCGUUUGUUGAACAGACUAAUGAGUCAGCGAGCAGAAAGCUGGACCUCAAACCUUCACAGCAGCUGUCAGUGUUACACUGAGUUGGUUCAGACAGUGGUAAUUGUUUUCCAUCGUCAGUGGUUGGACCUUCGUGGUUCUCAGGAGCCGACAAACUUGACAGCUCCUUCAGGCUUGCCUGCAGCCCUGCCACAGUGCUCUGCCCCAUCAUCGCCGUGGUGGCGCAGCCCCG